CCUACGGGAGGCAGCAGUGGGGAAUAUUGGACAAUGGGCGCAAGCCUGAUCCAGCAAUGCCGCGUGUGUGAAGAAGGCCUUAGGGUUGUAAAGCACUUUCAUUGAGGAGGAAAAGUUAUGCGUUAAUAGCGUAUAGCCGUGACGUUACUCAAAGAAGAAGCACCGGCUAACUCCGUGCCAGCAGCCGCGGUAAUACGGAGGGUGCAAGCGUUAAUCGGAAUUACUGGGCGUAAAGCGCGCGUAGGCGGUUUAUUAAGUCAGAUGUGAAAGCCCCGGGCUCAACCUGGGAAUUGCAUUUGAUACUGAUAGGCUAGAGUAUGGUAGAGGUGAGUGGAAUUUCAGGUGUAGCGGUGAAAUGCGUAGAGAUCUGAAGGAACAUCAGUGGCGAAGGCGACUCACUGGGCCAUUACUGACGCUGAGGUGCGAAAGCGUGGGUAGCAAACAGGAUUAGAUACCCCAGUAGUC
rnacentral:rRNA from 1 species